CGGUUAAGUUAGAAAGGGCGCACGGUGGAUGCCUUGGCACUAGGAGCCGAUGAAGGACGGGACGAACACCGAUAUGCUUCGGGGAGCUGUAAGCAAGCUUUGAUCCGGAGAUUUCCGAAUGGGGAAACCCACCACUCGUAAUGGAGUGGUAUCCAUAUCUGAAUACAUAGGAUAUGAGAAGGCAGACCCGGGGAACUGAAACAUCUAAGUACCCGGAGGAAGAGAAAGCAAAUGCGAUUCCCUGAGUAGCGGCGAGCGAAACGGGACCAGCCCAAACCAAGAGGCUUGCCUCUUGGGGUUGUAGGACACUCUGUACGGAGUUACAAAGGAACGAGGUAGAUGAAGAGGUCUGGAAAGGCCCGCCAUAGGAGGUAACAGCCCUGUAGUCAAAACUUCGUUCUCUCCUGAGUGGAUCCUGAGUACGGCGGAACACGUGAAAUUCCGUCGGAAUCCGGGAGGACCAUCUCCCAAGGCUAAAUACUCCCUAGUGACCGAUAGUGAACCAGUACCGUGAGGGAAAGGUGAAAAGCACCCCGGAAGGGGAGUGAAAGAGAUCCUGAAACCGUGUGCCUACAAGUAGUCAGAGCCCGUUAACGGGUGAUGGCGUGCCUUUUGUAGAAUGAACCGGCGAGUUACGAUCCCGUGCAAGGUUAAGCAGAAGAUGCGGAGCCGCAGCGAAAGCGAGUCUGAAUAGGGCGAAUUGAGUACGUGGUCGUAGACCCGAAACCAGGUGAUCUACCCAUGUCCAGGGUGAAGUUCAGGUAACACUGAAUGGAGGCCCGAACCCACGCACGUUGAAAAGUGCGGGGAUGAGGUGUGGGUAGGGGUGAAAUGCCAAUCGAACCUGGAGAUAGCUGGUUCUCUCCGAAAUAGCUUUAGGGCUAGCCUCAAGGUAAGAGUCUCGGAGGUAGAGCACUGAUUGGACUAGGGGCCCCUACCGGGUUACCGAAUUCAGUCAAACUCCGAAUGCCGAUGACUUAUCCUUGGGAGUCAGACUGCGAGUGAUAAGAUCCGUAGUCGAAAGGGAAACAGCCCAGACCGCCAGCUAAGGUCCCAAAGUAUACGUUAAGUGGAAAAGGAUGUGGAGUUGCUUAGACAACCAGGAUGUUGGCUUAGAAGCAGCCACCAUUUAAAGAGUGCGUAAUAGCUCACUGGUCGAGUGACUCUGCGCCGAAAAUGUACCGGGGCUAAACGUAUCACCGAAGCUGCGGACUGUUCUUCGAACAGUGGUAGGAGAGCGUUCUAAGGGCUGUGAAGCAAGACCGGAAGGACUUGUGGAGCGCUUAGAAGUGAGAAUGCCGGUAUGAGUAGCGAAAGAGGGGUGAGAAUCCCCUCCACCGAAUGCCUAAGGUUUCCUGAGGAAGGCUCGUCCGCUCAGGGUUAGUCGGGACCUAAGCCGAGGCCGAAAGGCGUAGGCGAUGGAUAACAGGUUGAUAUUCCUGUACCACCUCCUCACCAUUUGAGCAAUGGGGGGACGCAGGAGGAUAGGGUAAGCGCGGUAUUGGAUAUCCGCGUCCAAGCAGUUAGGCUGGGAAAUAGGCAAAUCCGUUUCCCGUGAAGGCUGAGCUGUGAUGGCGAGCGAAUUAUAGUAGCGAAGUUCCUGAUUCCACACUGCCAAGAAAAGCUUCUAGCGAGGUGAGAGGUGCCCGUACCGCAAACCGACACAGGUAGGCGAGGAGAGAAUCCUAAGGUGAUCGAGAGAACUCUCGUUAAGGAACUCGGCAAAAUGACCCCGUAACUUCGGGAGAAGGGGUGCUCUGUUAGGGUGCAAGCCCGAGAGAGCCGCAGUGAAUAGGCCCAGGCGACUGUUUAGCAAAAACACAGGUCUCUGCGAAGCCGUAAGGCGAAGUAUAGGGGCUGACGCCUGCCCGGUGCUGGAAGGUUAAGAGGAGCGCUUAGCGUAAGCGAAGGUGCGAAUUGAAGCCCCAGUAAACGGCGGCCGUAACUAUAACGGUCCUAAGGUAGCGAAAUUCCUUGUCGGGUAAGUUCCGACCCGCACGAAAGGCGCAACGAUCUGGGCACUGUCUCAACGAGAGACUCGGUGAAAUUAUAGUACCUGUGAAGAUGCAGGUUACCCGCGACAGGACGGAAAGACCCCGUGGAGCUUUACUGCAGCCUGAUAUUGAAUGUUGGUACAGCUUGUACAGGAUAGGUAGGAGCCUUGGAAACCGGAGCGCCAGCUUCGGUGGAGGCAUCGGUGGGAUACUACCCUGGCUGUAUUGACCUUCUAACCCGCCGCCCUUAUCGGGCGGGGAGACAGUGUCAGGUGGGCAGUUUGACUGGGGCGGUCGCCUCCUAAAAGGUAACGGAGGCGCCCAAAGGUUCCCUCAGAAUGGUUGGAAAUCAUUCGCAGAGUGUAAAGGCACAAGGGAGCUUGACUGCGAGACCUACAAGUCGAGCAGGGACGAAAGUCGGGCUUAGUGAUCCGGUGGUUCCGCAUGGAAGGGCCAUCGCUCAACGGAUAAAAGCUACCCCGGGGAUAACAGGCUUAUCUCCCCCAAGAGUCCACAUCGACGGGGAGGUUUGGCACCUCGAUGUCGGCUCAUCGCAUCCUGGGGCUGUAGUCGGUCCCAAGGGUUGGGCUGUUCGCCCAUUAAAGCGGUACGCGAGCUGGGUUCAGAACGUCGUGAGACAGUUCGGUCCCUAUCCGUCGCGGGCGCAGGAAAUUUGAGAGGAGCUGUCCUUAGUACGAGAGGACCGGGAUGGACGCACCGCUGGUGUACCAGUUGUUCUGCCAAGGGCAUCGCUGGGUAGCUAUGUGCGGACGGGAUAAGUGCUGAAAGCAUCUAAGCAUGAAGCCCCCCUCAAGAUGAGAUUUCCCAUUCCGCAAGGAAGUAAGAUCCCUGAAAGAUGAUCAGGUUGAUAGGUCUGAAGUGGAAGUGUGGCGACACAUGGAGCUGACAGAUACUAAUCGAUCGAGGACUUAACCAAUUU
rnacentral:rRNA from 1 species